UAAGCCCACUGGAUUGGGAAUCAGAAUUUCCAUAUUCUAGCUUUUUUUGCCACUGGUUAAUGUUACGGAAAUUGCUUUAUCUCACUGGAUGCAAAAUUCCUUAUGUAUAAAAUCAGGCUUUUGGAAUAGGCAUCAUGUCCUGAAUCUAAGGGCAUGCAUCUAACUUCAUCAUCCAUCAGUUGAAAUAGAAAUAAAUGGAAAAAUUACAGGGCACAUCAUGAUUUAACGGCAAGAAGGACAAGAAUGAGCAAUGCGAAAACUGCAGGGACCCACAGCAGGCUCUGCCCAGUGCUUCUACUCACCAGUCAAGAAUCUGCUUGAGCAUGCAGACGCUGCACUUGAAAGACUUGUUUUCAAAAUCCGGCUCUGACAUCUAAAGAAGCCUAGAGGGAGGUGGCAGCAACAGUCCUUGCUUUUUCAACAACAAAGAGAAGAGACAAUUUUCCGGGAUCUUUCUGCCUCGAAGACACUUACUUUCCCUUCCUGACUUGCUAACUCCUGCUCAUGUGCCAGGUCUUGGUUUGGAGGUCACCCCUUUUGGAAGCCAUCCCAGUUCUCUAAGACGUUUUUUAUUUUUUUGGAUGCCACUCAAUUUACCCUAACAUGACCACAUCUGUCUCCUGCCCCAGCACCCAUAACUGAAUUGCUCUGGUCGAUGCAGAUGACUACACCUGGAGCUGGUCUUGCUCAGGCUGCUCUUUGCCUAUCCUGAGGCCCCUUGCUGAACCUGAGGGCUCCACGAAGCAUGGUUUGAAAACCAAAGUGCUAGACCCUGCUCCGCAAUGGAAAACCUACAGAUAUAGAAGGCGAGUGGAGACCUUAUGUAGCCUUCACAAAAUUGCCAGACCUGGAGUGACACAGUGGGUCCCAGGGGUCAAAAAGCGGAAAGGACCAACGAGGAGCCCUCAGCCUUGGGCAGGAGCGUAUAUGUGGUCCAGAGCAAGGAAAGAGCCGAAGGAGACUGACCCCAAUUCCAGGGGCACAUGGAAAUGGUGUGAAGAUGACCAAGAGGGGUGAGAACCAGGAGAAUGCAAAGGGUCCUAACGCAGGAGCCAUAGCACUGGUGCUGAGUGGAAGUCCAAUGAAUGAGAAUUGAAAGCCAGCAAAUGUUCAGCUCAUCUUCAGAAGAGCUUGACUACAGAGAAGUCCACAUUCUCAGGAGACAGUAGCUUUGGAUGACAAUGUGACUCCCCAGAAGUGUGUGUGUGUGUCAGUGUUACAAAGUAAGUUGACACGUUGAAGCUGCACACACUUGGUGUCCAUAGACUUACUAUGAGACUUUCAGGAGAAGGUGAUUUGGAAGAAGUAACAGAAGUGACGUAAUUCAAGUACGAAGAAUCGUACUGAGCUUCAUCUGAAGUCACCUAUGCCAGCGUUCUGCACCUCACUUGAUCCUGCUAUUGCAGAAAGUCCAGGUCCUCCACAGCCCCAACUCCCCCAAGACUCCCAGGUUAUUUCAGAGAGUCUCUAAGAGUUUCAUGUUUUCCUAUGUCCCCUCAGCUGCCACAUGGCACUGACACUUUUCAUUCCCUCCUGUUAAACAGUCACUUUCAUUGAUGUAGCCCGUGAAGGCCUGCAGCUACUUCCAUCUGAAGGGCAUGAUUAUAGACUGUGCUGCUACUGCACUGAGGCCACUCAGCUGAGAGUCAGCACACCCUGCUGCUGCCUCGCGCCACACCACGUGCAAACACACAUGCACACAGACACACACAGACACACACAAUCACAUGCCUUUGGUCUACCUUCUGUCACAGUCCCUUUCCGAGAAUUCUGCCAUGUAUUCAUUUCCGGUCUACACUUUAUUUUUUGCAUAAAAUUUACCUUAUUAUUCUUUUUUUGUG